GCUUACGGCCACACCACCCUGAGAACGCCCGAUCUCGUCCGAUCUCGGAAGCUAAGCAGGGUCGGGCCUGGUUAGUACUUGGAUGGGAGACCGCCUGGGAAUACCAGGUGCUGUAAGCU
ensembl:rRNA 5S_rRNA 5S ribosomal RNA